GUUCGGCUUCCUGAGCCGCGGUGGGCGUGGCCGCGGUAGGCUGCCAGCCAGGCUGGGAAAGCGGUGGUAGCACGUUGGGUUGCUGGGGCUCAGUUGUUGUAGUCGCGAUGUUCUUCUCGGAGGCCAGAGCCAGGUCGCGGACGUGGGAAGCCAGUCCCUCGGACCACAGGAAGUGGGUGGAAGUAUUUAAAGCAUGUGAUGAAGAUCACAAAGGAUAUCUCAGCAGAGAGGACUUUAAAACUGCUGUUGUAAUGCUGUUUGGGUACAAGCCCUCCAAGAUAGAAGUGGAUUCUGUGAUGUCUUCAAUAAAUCCAAAUACUUCUGGUAUGUUACUCGAGGGGUUUUUAAAUAUUGUCAGGAAAAAGAAGGAAGCUCAACGAUAUCGGAAUGAAGUAAGACACAUCUUCACAGCCUUUGACACCUACUAUCGUGGAUUUUUAACUUUGGAAGAUUUCAAAAAAGCAUUUAGGCAGGUGGCUCCCAAAUUACCGGAAAGGACUGUUCUUGAGGUAUUCAGCAUAGUGUCAUGGUCCAGGAGGGAAAUCUAUAGUUAGCUAUGAGUCCUUCCAUGCCCCUGACAGUGAACUGUAAAGUUGGGGGAGCGCUUGCACACCAGGCAGGUGCAUACAAGCACUUAUGAGUAGGGGCAGGAGAGGAACAGGAGGAAAGAACUCUUCAGAUGCUUACGUGUGAACCAAGGGAAAAUGGAGCUUUAGUAAUAUUUAGCAUGGAUGCUGGUGUCCUCACAUGGUCUGUAUUUCAGACAAACACAGGUUACAUGUGGUUCUUGAGUUAUCUGGAGAGAACAGCUGGAGUUGCCUGAUGGUAGCCCCCUUGUUCCCUUGCUUUCAAAGCUACUGACACAUGUUGCUCUUCACACAUACCUGAUAAAGUGGAUUUAAAGAUUAUAUUAUGUGGUUCUUAUGAACGAAUCCUGACAAAAUGGACAAGUGGCUUAAAAGCAGUUUCUGUUAGGAAACUGCAGAUUGAAGGUAAUAUUAAUAGUGCAAACACAUGCUGACGUGAGAACACAGCAGAGCUGUCUCUUCUCUGACUCUCAGCAUGAGCUCUUCAUCAACCGUGUUAACAGGUGUAUUCAUUAGCGUUCAGCAUGCCAGUGAGAGCCAGAAAACCCAAAAGAACGGAAACUCAAAAAAUAUAGAAAUUCAUUUCUCUGCCAUAUAAACAGGCAAACCAGGGGCGAAUGUUGACCACACAGUCGGGAAGGAUCCAGAUUGCCCCUUUUCUUGUUGCUCUGGCUGUAUCAACACCUGGCUUCUCCCUCUUGCUUCAAGAUGGUUGCUUAAGUUUCAGCAGUCAAAUAUUAAGUUUCAGCAGUCAAAUCUGAAUUCCAGCUGGUUAGGAGGAAAAGAAAGCAGAAGGGAAGUAGAUCGAGACUCAGAUGGUCAUGUCAGCUUUAGAGACUUUGAAUAUGCCCUGAACUAUGGACAGAAGGAAGCCUAACUAUUGUGAACUACUUUUGGUAACUCUGGGGAGAUCAAUAGAUUGUAAUGUCAGCAGACUCUAGUCUACUAAUAAUGUCAUGCUACAGACUUGUGAUUAAACAUUUAAAAAUUUUUAA